rnacentral:tRNA from 1 species
CAGCUUUGUAUUUUAUUUAGAAUUUUAGCUUUGGGGGUUGAAGGUCUCGUUGUGAGCAGGCUGA